GAUUGAACGCUGGCGGCAGGCCUAACACAUGCAAGUCGAACGGUAACAGGAAGCAGCUUGCUGCUUYGCUGACGAGUGGCGGACGGGUGAGUAAUGUCUGGGGAUCUGCCUGAUGGAGGGGGAUAACUACUGGAAACGGUAGCUAAUACCGCAUAACGUCGCAAGACCAAAGAGGGGGACCUUCGGGCCUCUUGCCAUCAGAUGAACCCAGAUGGGAUUAGCUAGUAGGUGGGGUAACGGCUCACCUAGGCGACGAUCCCUAGCUGGUCUGAGAGGAUGACCAGCCACACUGGAACUGAGACACGGUCCAGACUCCUACGGGAGGCAGCAGUGGGGAAUAUUGCACAAUGGGCGCAAGCCUGAUGCAGCCAUGCCGCGUGUAUGAAGAAGGCCUUCGGGUUGUAAAGUACUUUCAGCGAGGAGGAAGGUGGUAAGGUUAAUAACCUUAUCRAUUGACGUUACUCGCAGAAGAAGCACCGGCUAACUCCGU
rnacentral:rRNA from 1 species